GACGAACGCUGGCGGCGUGCUUAACACAUGCAAGUCGAACGGAAAGGCCCUGCUUGCAGGGUACUCGAGUUGCGAACGGGCGAGUAACACGUGGGUGAUCUGCCCUGCACUUCGGGAUAAGCCUGGGCAACUGGGUCGAAUACCGGAUAGGAGCCAUUUUUAGUGUGAUGGUUGGAAAGUUUUUUCGGUGUUGGAUGAGCUCGCGGCCUAUCAGCUUGUUGGUGGGGUAAUGGCCUACCAAGGCGGCGACGGGUAGCCGGCCUGCGAGGGUGGACGGCCACACUGGGACUGAGAGACGGCACAGACUCCUACGGGAGGCAGCAGUGGGGAAUAUUGCACAAUGGGCGCCAGCCUGAUGCAGCGACGCCGCGUGGGGUAUGACGGUCUUCGGGUUGUAGAAUACUUUCGCUAGGGACGAAGCUUUUUGUGACGGUACCUAGAUAAGAAGCACCGGCUAACUACGUG
rnacentral:rRNA from 1 species